GAAGCAACACAUAUGCAGCUGCUAGAAGAGGAGUGUAAAGGAGAGCUGGUGGCUUUGGAAGGUUGCUGUUUAUAUGUCUGCUGAAGGAUAGGGGAUCCUAUUCAUCAGUGGCAUUUGGAAAUAGAGCUGGAUGCAGAGUGGAGAGUGAUAACAAGCUGAAUCCACUGGAUGAACUUCAAAGAGUAAUGGCUGCUGCUUCAUUUCUGCUUUCCAAAUCACAUUGGAUUAUCUUUUGACCACCUCUGAGAACCAUAUGGGGAAAGAGGAUUCUGGGCAAUAUUGUUCCAGGUCAAACAAGCUGAUAAACUACAAGCUGAUAAACUACAAAACAACCGCACUCCAGCUCAUGUCAGCUUGGUGUCAUUCACAUCUCUUUUAUCCAUAUUUGCAUCUAAUAGUUCUCUCUCUUGCUGCCAUGUGAAGAAG